UUAAAUGGAACUUUCAAUUAUGUCACCCCCACAAAGCAGCUGAUAAAGAAGACUAAAGCAGAACAGUACUGGAUUUUUUUUUAAUAAAUCUUAAUUAAAAGUGAAACAACUAUCAGUUUGGAAAAGGAGUCUUCCCUCCAGUAAUGUGUCAGGGAGAAAAAGACAAGGUAGGGAGACAUAGGCUUUUCUAAAAAUUCUGUGUUGUGCUGGAGAGGCAAGUGAGAGACAGCAGUACUGAUGGUGGUAAGAAUGACACACAUUGUGUAGAUUAGGCCCCAGCAGAAAAUUAAUGACCUAAACUUGUGAGCCACUAUACACAUCGGGCCAAGAAUAUGUCAUGAACUUUUCUAAAACUAGUUCAGCACAGGAGAUGAAUACUCAGCUCUCCUAGGCCCAGCAACAAAGUAUACAGCUAGAAGGGACCUCUUUAGAUUAUCUAGUUUACUCCCAACCUCAGGAACUCUUCCAGAAAUUUUCCUAGCAAAAGGGCUUUCUUUUCUAGAAGAUUCUAUAUUCUUUCUUACAUAACACAUUCUCUCUGUUAACCAUCCAUACCAUCAUAGACAUCCUUUUUCUAUAUGCAAUUCAGGAUUAUUGCUCUUGUUCUAUAUCCAGGAGACAUAUGGAAGUACUUAUUAAUUCUUUCAUUGAAAUGUAGUCUCUCAACUAAAUAAAUAUCCCAGUCAUGCCUGAUUACCCCAACACCAUGAAAUUUUGUUACCAGUUGUUCUUGCUGUCCUCUCAAGUCUUUCCCUUAAUAUAAUAAUAGUUCUUAAACUGUGGUGCUUAGAGAAGAGUAUUUCCAUUAGUAAGGCUUUUACUUGUGUCAGUUGUUAGUCAGUUUGACUGCUGGUAGUCCUGCUAACAAUUCAGAUGAUGCCAUAUUGGAAAAGUAUGAGUUGAUAAAGCCUCGUUGAUCUAUGAGUCAUUCUAUCCCCAUCUCCUUUCCUGCAAAGCUGCUUCACAGAUGUCUUUCCAGUUGAACUUGUGCAGUUCAUUAUUCUCAUAGAAACAUAGCAUUGUGCACAGAUUAUCUCCUUGACUUGUCAAAAUAAUUUUGCAUUACUUCUUUUGCCAAAGUGAGUGCAAUCUUUUCCACUUCACACACAUGCAAACAUAUUAAGUGCACAGUCUACUCAAGGGUCCAGAAUGAUUAAUGUAAAAGCCCAUUUGAUAAAUUUUUAGAGUUUGAUGGUGAAGCAAUAAGAACCAGUCUGGCUAUUAUUUUUUAAUCAAUACUAUAUUUGGUUCAUGGUAGCUCCCACCUGAACUGUAUUGCUGCAGUAAAAUUCUGGAAAGGUCAUCAGAGACAGACAAAACCUACCCUAAAGUAAGAGAUAUUGCAUCUAUUCUCUUUUGCCUAUCUACAAAGCUUUCAAAGACUUUUUUGCCCUUGAGGAGAUUAUCUUAGAGGGCAAUGUAUUUUCCCACUACUUGUAGCUUUUAGGUUAGAGAAACUGGUGUCAGGAAUGCCAGAAGGGAAUUGCCUAAGAGAGCUGAGUAUAUGAUAUCUUGAGGUCUGUUUCAUCCCAGUUUUCUGUGAUAGAAAGACAUUGCUGGCUAGAUUGUUCUUUGGCACUCUGCUAGCUUUAUAUAAGCCUGAUGAAUGCAGCCUCCAGAGACUUAUCACAUAAAACUCAAUUAUAAGUGGUCCAAGAAAGAGCUGGAAGAAAGAUAUACUGGGUUGUUAGGGAAAAAUAUAUUUUGGGAAGUGGAGAUGUUAUUCAGGUAUACAUCUCAUCCUUAAUUAAGGAUUGAGCCCACAUAAAAUCUCAAGUGUUUACAUAUCUUCUUGGUAGUCAUAUACUUUAUGCUUCACCAAUAAAAAUAAGUUGCCAGUUUGCACUGGACUCCUCUCUGCUCUGCUGUCAUUUCCUACUUGCAAAACCACCAAGAACUUCUCCACACUUGACUUGGAAGUUUUGAAACUGGUGCAGUUUAAAGCAGAGUCCAUGGAGUUGCAGGAACCAUUGGCACAUCCUAGACUAAGACCCAAGCUUGUGCCCACCUGUUUCUUUGCAGAGCAGUGUUGUGACAUAACACUGCACCACCAAAUCGGAAAGAACAGUGGGUGGAAGGGGAGAAUUGUGAGCCAUACUUUAAAGAGAAAUGCUUCAAGAUGCAUUGAAAAGAGACAUAGUAACUGCUUUUUUCUGUGACUGUCAGGGUAAGGAGUAUAGAGGGGAUAAAAAUGUCUUAUUUUCCAUUUUAACUGCAUAUGAUUAUUUUUUGUUUAUAUCAGAGUUGUUUCCAGCUCCAGUAAUGGUUUGUAGCCACCUAGCCUUCUUGUCAUUACUGUCCUGGCAGUGCAAGAGCUUCAUACUGUUUAAUGCACACAGUUUAGAACCUAGACUUUUGUCUUCACAAAAAUUCAUUUUUUGAUCAAGAAGUAGUUAUAUAUCAAUGCACUUUCAUUUUAAUCCACCUCUUGCAUUGUACAGGUAGUGAAGUUUGACACCUUGUUUCCACGUUUUCCACUGCACAAACACUUUAAACAAGUGCACAUAGAAACUACAUGACUGUUGUCUUAAUACUCCCAGGAGGCUUAGACAGAAAGACUGGAUCACACAGAAGAUAGACAGAGGAAGAAACUAGUGCAGGGUAUGCCACUUCUGAAAGCUCUUUUCUAAAUCAUGUACUUGUCAACCCUGGUUUCUUCUUUUGGGGCAAAUAUCUCGGAUCAAAUUCAGCUUCAUUCGUGAAAGGGACCAAUCACAAGGGAAAUGUAGGCAGACUGAAUCACUAGAACAACGUGGGCAUGCCAAAGAGUGGUAACACAAGGGAGCUCAAGAUUGCAGCUGUGCUUUGCUGCUGUGUUGAUAACACAGGACACAUAGGCACACAAGAUGAGGGAAUUUUUUAUAUCCUCUUCCCCUUGUCCACCUGAAAGCAACAAUGAAAGUAUGAUAAGUAUUCAUAAACAUUCACUUUCAUCUAGGAGGCCUUCUGGGGGGUCUGUUCAAUUCUAAUCUGCAGGACCUAAUCCAUAAUUACUCUAGUUUCUUCCUCUAAAACUAUUUUUCUGCACCGGAAAACACUGUCGUACCUUUGUUGUACAGUUAACACAUUAUCUCACUUCGACACAGAAAUUAGAUGUUAACACAUCAGCCUCUUUGAGGCAGUGAUCUGGUAGAGUUUCAUACAGCAUACAUUGUAGAAAAACUAGAGGACCACAGUGUUAAUGAAAUGCAAUAACCGCAGGCAUUGCCGUCUUCCAAGCAUGGCUGGAAGAGGUAAUGGAGGUGAUGCUCUGGACUUGUAUAGGACAAAUAUCAGUCUUGGGCAGAAGGAAUCUCUGUCCUACUGAAUACUGAAUAGGCUGUAUAGUCACGCUUCUUACCUCUUUCUUUCUCAAAGACUUUAUUCAAUGAUUUGGCAGGAGAGACAUACAGACAGUAAAAUAUGAUUCUGGGAGGGUUUCCAAAAGGUAGGAGAUUAAUUUCUAAUUCCAAGACUAUGAUGCAGGAGGGAAGAUUCUGUUUCAGGCUGUCUUCUAUACUGACAUGUUCAGGAGAUAUUUUGGGUUCUUAACUGGAGAGAGCUUUUUGCCUCUGCUUAGUAACCUGGGGAACAGAACAUAUAUAUUGUAUAUAUUUUACACUUGUGUUUACCUAUUAGCCAGCUCUUAGAGUUCCUCUUUGGAAAACAGUAUCUGUGCAGGAAGCCUAAGUGCUUAAGACUAAUUCCUCUACUUCAAAGCAAAGUUUUUGCAAUGCUCAGAACUGUGACACUAGACUGACGUGAUUGACAUGGCACACUAAAUGUGACAGAGUGGUACACUGAUGUGGCAGCUAAAUGUGGCAGCUGAUACCACUCUACACAGAGGUUUUGUUUCAACCUCUGUUGCAAUUAAUGUCCUUUUACUUAUUCUUAGAGGCAUUUGAUCCUACUGAAUAUUUGAUUUUCAUGUGAGGAAUUUGUCUUUUAUACUUCAGAAAACAGAGAACUAAAAAAAAGGCUCAAAGACAGUUCCAAUAGGGAUUUUAUACAGGUAUUUUAUAUACAGGGACUUAUACAAGUAUUUCUCCUUGCAUCAGCAGCAGUUACAUAGAACAGGUAAAAGUCCAAGACUUUCACAGACCUACAAUGACCUUGGAAACACUGCUUUUGAUGAUUUCAAAUAUUUUCAAGGUGUGAUACUUGAGACUGGAUUUUCAGCAACUUCUGAAGACCAAGACGCUGUUUAAAGCAUCAAGCAUAUAUGUCAAGAAUUAAUAGAGUCAGCUUUUAUACUCACAUCUGAAAUAAAUAAAUUAAUCCUUUCAGAAGAUAUAGAUUCUUUAGCAAAGCAGUUAUGAGGAAACACACUGAUGAAUUAAGCAAAUGGAUAUAAAGUAUGCAUAGAGAUAUGAUGGGAUAACCCCACCCCCACCCCCCACCCAUGCUGUGUUCUCCAGAUCCCAAUUUAAUUUAUGAAGAGAGCUAGAAGAAUUAUUCAGCUCUUUGGUGCCUCAGUAUUUUUUUAACCACUUUCUCCUAAGUUAAAUCCUUUGUAACUCAUCUGCAAAGUACAAAUACUAUGCAAAGGAAUUUUGAAGAAGAAAGACAGGUUUUUCACAAUACGGUAUGCUGCAAAAGCUGUAACUAAGUCUAAAAUAGAUACUUUUUUUCUCUUUGGCUUAGCCAUGUGAGGAAGUACAAAAAAACAAAGCAAGUAAAAAACAAUGUCCUAUAUAUUUAUAGAUUGGCUAUAUAUAGUCCAGCUGCAAAUGCUCAAGUUCAGUUUCUACAGUUCUUCUUUAGUUUUCUUAUAUUUUGAAGGGUGUGAGAUAAGUAACAUUAUUUUUAUGUAGAUUGUUAAUGCUACUCCUUUUAGAUGGAAGACAGAGAAUUCAAAGGAGAAAUUAAUAUAAAAAGAAGAUUUGACUUCUCCCAUUAACUUAAUAUC